UUUUUCUUACCACUGAUGCAUUUUUCAUGUUCCCCGGAGCCCUCACGAUAAGAACUGACCCACAAUGCAACUCUUCCUGCUGGGCUGAAAAGCAGGGAGUGGCUUCUCUCAGGCCUCUCCCUCUGCUGCAGUCAACAGGACGUGCUCGAAGGAUAUGGGAUCUUGCAGAACCUUUCUGCGACGACUCCUGGUGGGCAAUGGCACCUAUUAACACAAACAGCAGACUGUGUGUAGAGCUCUGGGGCCACUUAAAAGGCGAUCAUAUGGGCUGUAAACGCAUACUGAAGUCUUCUUAAACGACACAGAGAACCAUCAAUUCAAAUUGACUUCACAGUGCAAAGACCCUUUUACUGCCAAGUCUUUACUGCUUUUAGUCUCCAAGAAUAUGGAGUACGUCAGGCAUUGGCUUAAUGUCCUGGGACAUCAAGUAACCGCAAGCUAAUGAGAUGGCCGAACCCUAGACGUUUGACACAGAAUUCAAUUAGACGGCACUCUCACUACCUUUUACAGAGAUGGGAUGUCUACUUUGAGACGCAUCAAAGCCUUCUCCAUCAAGCUCCACUGAGGGAUUUAGAAAGGGUGAAGUUGCCGGUGGGAUCAUUCGUCUUUCUGGCCACGCUUUCAAUUACAGAGCGGUGGCCUCCAAAACAAUCCCUCAGCAGGCUGCAUGACAGACAGAGCUGGGAGUUUUGAGAGACUUCAGAUAAAACCACAAAGGAUGAUCGAUAAGUCAUCAGGGACGGAGGGAGGAGGAAGAGAAAUCAAGGAGUGGGAGAGAAGAGAAGAGAGAGAAUUGGAAAGAAGACAUUUGAGAAAAAUAUAAAAAUUUGAUGUAAUAUAAAUACAGACCACAAUGUCAUGUUUUGCCAUGGUAUUCAUUGAAGUGCCAUAUGAUAACCAUUGUACUCUAUAUGAAGAUGGUUGCUGUGGACAUUUUGUGCUUUUUUUGUUACCUUAAUUCAAUCAAUUGAAUUAAUUCAGUUUAUUUUUAUUUUAUUUUAUUUUAUUUGUUAUUGUUUUAUUAAUUAUAUUGGUGUUAGUCCA